rnacentral:rRNA from 1 species
UACGAAGGGGGCGUGCGUUAUCCGGAAUGAUUGGGCGUAAAGGGUUCGUAGGUGGUAUAUAUCAAUAAUUGUUAAAAAUUAGAGCCUAACUCUAUAAAAGCUUUUUAUAAUGUAUAUACUUGGAGUGCAAUAGGGGGUAGUGGAAUUUUUAUAGGAAGGGGUAAAAUCUGACGAUCUAUAAAGGAACAUCAGUGGCGAAGGCGACUACCUGGGUUGUUACUGACAUUGAGGAACGAAAGCGUGGGGAGCAAACAGGAUUAGAUACCCGAGUAGU